rnacentral:rRNA from 1 species
AUUGAACGCUGGCGGCAUGCUUUACACAUGCAAGUCGAACGGCAGCGCGGGCUUCGGCCUGGCGGCGAGUGGCGAACGGGUGAGUAAUACAUCGGAACGUGCCCAGUAGUGGGGGAUAGCUCGGCGAAAGCCGGAUUAAUACCGCAUACGACCUGAGGGUGAAAGCGGGGGAUCUUCGGACCUCGCGAUAUUGGAGCGGCCGAUGGCAGAUUAGCUAGUUGGUGGGGUAAAGGCCUACCAAGGCGACGAUCUGUAGCUGGUCUGAGAGGACGACCAGCCACACUGGGACUGAGACACGGCCCAGACUCCUACGGGAGGCAGCAGUGGGGAAUUUUGGACAAUGGGCGAAAGCCUGAUCCAGCAAUGCCGCGUGUGUGAUGAAGGCCUUCGGGUUGUAAAGCACUUUUGGCGGGAACGAAAAGGACUGUGCCAAUACCACGGUUCGAUGACGGUACCCGCAGAAUAAGCACCGGCUAACUACGUG